UUAAAGUACCGUGCUUCUCAGCUGGUAGAGCAUGAGACUCUUAAUCUCAGGGUUGUGGGUUCGAGCCCCACAUUGGGUAAA